GGAAUUUUUGAUGGAUAUGAUGUUCCUCGUCAGCCUUCGAAUAUAAGUGUUCGCUCUAAGGAUCUAUUCUGUUUUCUUAUGGUGGUAGAUGAGAUUUCUAUGCAAUUUAUUAGAGAAAACGUUACUAUUGAGGAGGAUAAUGAUGGAGGAAAAUGGGUUGGUAUCUGGCGGCUUGUCUUACUAAAGUAUCCACCCUAUGAUGAGCCAAGAAGAAAUGGAAAAGUGCC
rnacentral:misc_RNA from 1 species